rnacentral:rRNA from 1 species
GAUUGACCUCGGAUCAGGUAGGGAUACCCGCUGAACUUAAGCAUAUCAAUAAGCGGAGGAAAAGAAACCAACAGGGAUUGCCUCAGUAACGGCGAGUGAAGCGGCAACAGCUCAAAUUUGAAAUCUGGUCCUUUCAGGCCCCGAGUUGUAAUUUGUAGAGGAUGUUUCGGGCGCGGCGCGGGUCUAAGUCCUUUGGAACAGGGCGUCAUAGAGGGUGAGAAUCCCGUAUGUGACCCGUGAUCAAGCCCAUGUGAAACCCCUUCGACGAGUCGAGUUGUUUGGGAAUGCAGCUCAAAAUGGGUGGUAAAUUUCAUCUAAAGCUAAAUACCGGCCAGAGACCGAUAGCGCACAAGUAGAGUGAUCGAAAGAUGAAAAGCACUUUGGAAAGAGAGUCAAAAAGUACGUGAAAUUGUUGAAAGGGAAGCGCUUGCAACCAGACCUGUCCGCGGGCGUAUCAACUCCCGUUCUCGGGGGUGCACUCGUCCGCGAUCAGGCCAGCAUCGGUUUGGGCGGUCGGAUAAAGGCCUUGGGAAUGUAUCUCCUUCCGGGGAGUGUUAUAGCCCUUGGUGCAAUGCGGCCAGCCCGGACCGAGGACCGCGCCUUCGGGCUAGGAUGCUGGCGUAAUGGUUGUAAGCGACCCGUCUUGAAACACGGACCAAGGAGUCUAACAUCUAUGCAAGUGUUUGGGUGUCAAACCCAUGCGCGUAAUGAAAGUGAACGGAGGUGAGAACCCUUAAGGGCGCAUCAUCGACCGAUCCAGAUGUCUUCGGAUGGAUUUGAGUACGAGCAUAGCUGUUGGGACCCGAAAGAUGGUGAACUAUGCCUGAAUAGGGUGAAGCCAGAGGAAACUCUGGUGGAGGCUCGCAGCGGUUCUGACGUGCAAAUCGAUCGUCAAAUUUGGGUAUAGGGGCGAAAGACUAAUCGAACCAUCUAGUAGCUGGUUCCUGCC